CCCGCCCACAGCUAACCCGGGCUUCCCAAAAUUAAAGCAACUCGGAGGCUGGUCUUCAGACAAGCUCCUUCUAGUUCGUCACAGCAACCAAGGAUCCGUACCCUCCUCUUUCCACGCCCUUAAGGGGUUUCCUGGAGGUUGGGUUAGAUGUGGAAAGAAAGGACCCAUCAUGGAAGGAUGCCUCCAUGUUCAUAGAACAUGGUACCCCACUCUGUCCAAGACUGUGAGAGUCCAUUCAUAUAUAAAGGAUUCAGUGGAGCCACUCUGCAUUCACCAUAAUGGCCAUUAUCUGUACCUAUCUCAAAGGUGAAGAGUCCCAUUUCCUGAUGACAAAAAACGAUUGCUGAGAACUCAGUGAGCAGUAUAAUAAGAGCUUUAAAGGUGGCAUUCAAAGACACAUCUCUUGUUACAUGGCAGUGCCUGUUGGAUGUUUUGUAUUAGCUGGACCCUGGUGGAACUGCUCAUCACAGGUGACCACAGAAGUGCUCAGAUUCUAGAAGACUUGAAAAUGGAACUGGACAGGAAUGGAGUCUGCUUUAAUUUUGUGGAAGUAAAUGGUCCUAGUCAGAGAAUAUUUUUAGCUUCUGUCAUUCUCAAUCCAUGCUAAGAUUCUGGAAUCAUGAGCAAUCAUGCUUAUCAUUUGGGGUGACAAUAAUUCACUAUUUUUAAAUAAUAAAUAUAUUUCAAUAGUUCAAUAUGGAAAACUUAGUGCAUGAACAUGUCCAUGACAGAUUCAUUCCUGAUAACUCUCAUUUUUUUCACCCCAUCAGGAAACAUUUUCAGUUUCCCAAAUUUUACACAGAGAGAUAAUCCUAUCAAAUACCUAGAAGACAUUUACUUCAAAUAUUAUGGCCCUGGUUUUUUAAUUGUUCAUUUUAUGACUUUGACUAAAUCCUUGAAAACUGUCUACCUAAUGCUUGGAAUUGUUGCUAUAAAAACAUUUUGACCACUAAAGAGAGUUGUAUAAAAAGCUGUGUAUACAGUGGCCCACAGUCUCCAUGAGAUAGUGCAGAUUCAAACACAGGGAAAUGUGGAUGAGACUGUUAUUUCCUUGGCAUGUAAUUUCUCUUCCAUUGUAUUGUAACAUCAGCAGUGAAAUCUAGACAUGUAAAGGCUCUAUAUUUAAGUACUGUAGAUGUUACUUUUUAUUUCCUAUAAGAGACUAAAAGUCUAGUACAUGUUUCAGUGCUUAGAAGUAAAUUCACCCACAUGUCAGUGUAAACACUGAGUUGGUUGCCACUGGGCAGAAAGAGAUAAUCAUGUGAAUGAAUAUUAAACUUAAGUUACAAACAAA